CUGAAUAACUACCCUGAAUGGAUGGGUCCCAACCCGGAACCAUUCCUUUAAGGGGCUGCCUUAUCCACUUUCGAUGGGAAUUUAUUUGAAUACCCUGGGUGCGACCGGGAACGGAAAAUUUUGGUUCCACUCCCGGAAGGGAGCCCGGAAAACGGCUACCACUUCUAAGGAAGGGAGCAGGCGCGCAAAUUACCCCCUCUCCACACCAGGAGGGAGGGACGAAAAAUAACAAGAUGAUUUCCUUAUGUGGGUUAUCAUUGGAAUGAGAACAAUCUAAACCUUUUAACGAGGACCUAUUGGAGGGCAAGUCUGGUGCCAGCAGCCGCGGUAAUUCCAGCUCCGCCAGUGUAUAUCUAUGCUGUUGCGGUUAAAAAG
rnacentral:rRNA from 1 species